rnacentral:rRNA from 1 species
UACGUAGGCAGCAAGCGUUGUUCGGAGUUACUGGGCGUAAAGGGUGUGUAGGCGGUUCUUUAAGUUUUGCUGUGAAAUCUCCCGGCUUAACCGGGAGGGUGCGGUGGAAUACUGAGGGACUAGAGUACGGGAGAGGAAAGUAGGAAGUUCCUGGAUGUAGCGGUGAAAUGCGUAGAUAUCUGGAGGAACACCGGUGGCGAAGGCGGCAUUCUGGACCGACAUUGACGCUGAGGAGCGAAAGCCAGGGGAGCAAACGGG